GCGCGCGGGCGGCUCCGUCGGUGUGACAGCUCAGAGCUGUCCACGUCAACACACCGAGAGGAGAGAGAGAGAGAGGGAGAGGGAGAGAGAGAGAGAGAGAGAGACCGGCGGCGGACAUGGACUCCACGUCUCUGGAACCUUCACUCUACACGGUGAAAGCUCUUUUUAUUCUGGACAAUGAUGGAAACAGACUUCUGUCAAAGUACUACGAUCGGGAGUUCUACCCGUCCAUGAAGGAGCAGAAGAACUUUGAGAGGAACGUUUUCAACAAGACGUACAAAGCAGACAAUGAAAUCGCGUUCCUGGAGGGGAUGACCAUCGUCUAUAAGAGCAGCAUCGACCUCUUCUUCUACGUGGUGGGAAGUUCUCAAGAGAACGAGCUGAUGCUGAUGUCCGUCCUGAACUGCCUGUUUGAGUCGCUCAGUCAGAUCCUCAGGAAAAACGUGGAGCGGAGGUGUUUACUGGACAACAUGGAGGGAGUGUUUCUGGUCGUGGAUGAAAUCAUCGACGGAGGGGUGAUUCUGGAGAGCGACCCCCAGCAGGUCCUACAGAAGGUCAACUACAGGCUAAUGUCAGAGCCAGCCUAUGGCUUCGUCCUCUUUGAUUACAUCACCGGUAACGUAGACGGCCAAUCAGAAAGGAACCAGCUGCUGUAGGCAGACAGACAGACAGACGGAGGGCGGAUGAAAACCCACUAUCUGAACAGAGCGUUGCCCAGGUUCUUCAGUCGGCGAAGGAGCAGAUCAAAUGGUCCAUCCUGAAAUGACUCAGAGCAUUUAAACAUUUAGGAUUUUUACUUAGACCUAUUUUUCUAACUGCAGACUAGUUUAUAAACCCCGUAACCAGAGCUGAGGUUUCAUCUAUGAUGGUGUUUUAUUAUAUGAGACGUGCUGUUAAUUUAUUUAGUUUUAGAGCGAUGUUACUGAGAAAAUAAAAUGGCCAAAUGACACCAACAAACACUAAAAUCAACAGGAUUAUCUGCUAGUAAUGAUCUGUUACUUUUAUUUUGGCGGGGCAGGAUCUUCCCCUCUGAUAACAGAAUGUAACUGUAGGAUUAAGAUGCUGUUUAUGUUGAUGUGGUUUUGUAUUUUAGUGAUUUAUAGACUUUCAAUUUACACUGUUUUAUAAAUGAAGAAUUUAUUCAGCCAAAAUGUUAAAUUUCUGAAUAUUUCCCUUUACUAAAAUCUCUUUAUUGGUGCUUUAUUCUCAUUAUUCACUAAUAUAUGAGGCUCCAUAAGAAAAUACACUUAAAGAAAAGAUGUUUGCAAAGGUAGAAGACCCAAUAAAGCUUUAAUAAAAUGACCUGGAGUCAAACAAACACACUUUAAAAUGUUGUUUCUAAUAUAUAUUUCUAAGUUUGGUGUUUAAGACCAUAAUUAAAGUUUGUUAAAUUAUUGUGAAGUAAAUUAAUGCUGCUUAAAACACAAAACUGAGCUAAGUUCAUGAAGGAAAUCAAACAUCUGCACAUGUAUUGGAUUUUCAAAAUAAAAAGGGAACUUGGUGAAAAUAGUCCAUAAAGAUCAUAUUUUAAACUUUUUUAAAAAUAUUUAAAAUAUCAACAGACAUGAAAUAUUUCCCUAGGUGUAAAAAUAAAAAAAGCCAAAGACAGACUAACCGUUCUGUUUAUAUUUGAUAUUUAAUUGAACUGAUUCAGAUGUUUUGAUUGUGAAUCUGAUAAUAAAUCUGUAUACAUAA